UGGGGAAUAUUGGACAAUGGGCGCAAGCCUGAUCCAGCCAUGCCGCGUGAGUGAUGAAGGCCUUAGGGUUGUAAAGCUCUUUUGUCCGGGACGAUAAUGACGGUACCGGAAGAAUAAGCCCCGGCUAACUUCGUGCCAGCAGCCGCGGUAAUACGAAGGGGGCUAGCGUUGCUCGGAAUCACUGUGCGUAAAGGGCGCGUAGGCGGCUAUUUAAGUCGGGGGUGAAAGCCUGUGGCUCAACCACAGAAUUGCCUUCGAUACUGGAUAGCUUGAGUAUGGUAGAGGUUGGUGGAACUGCGAGUGUAGAGGUGAAAUUCGUAGAUAUUCGCAAGAACACCGGUGGCGAAGGCGGCCAACUGGACCAUUACUGACGCUGAGGCGCGAAAGCGUGGGGAGCAAACAGG
rnacentral:rRNA from 1 species